AUUCUAGACCACUCUUGUUUAACUUAGGAGAAAAAAGGAGGAAAAAAUUAAAAAUAGUUCACAAUGUGUUCCAAGUAAAAAGAAGAAAGAAGAAAAAUGAGUAAGAAUAAAAAAAGAAGAAAGAGGAGUAAAAAAGAUGCCACCCACUAAACUCUUAUUCUCUGAGAAAGGAGGAGAUACCUGUAAACAAAUUUAUGUAUUGACAUCUGUUCUGAUGCACCAGGUGCAGCUAAUUGAGAAAUGAAUGAGACAAGAUGCCCUCAAAAGCUCAGUCAAGUGGCAGAGACAGACAUUGAGAACACGUGAUCUUGGUUCAACAGCAGCUCUCAAGUGCUGUACAGAAUGGAUUGAUGGAAACAGCGAAGGCAUAGCAGUCCGAGAAGAUCCUUGGAAACACCUCUCUGAAUAACCUUUUUAUGCGUAUGGACAUCUUGCUUGACCUCCAAGAUCCAGUCUGCUGAUGAGGCAACUGCUGUAAGAAUUAUUUGCAAUCUCUGCCCAUCCACAAACUCUCCACCAUGACUACUGCACUUAGAGCACUCUGCAGUAUUUUCCAGAUGUCUGUUAUCUGUCCUGUCACACCUACCAAGAGAUCUGGGAAAACAGGGAGCACCUAUGAUUUUAACUAAGUAUGAACUACACACAAGGCAAUAUGCAAUAAAGAAAAUAGAAUGUCC